CCAAACUUUUUCAACCACAUGAUCAUCCAUGACACAGAACAAAAUCAGAAAGUUAAGGGCAACCCAGAAUUUUUUUCCAAAGCAGAAUCAUUAUCAAAGAACAACCUUUCCAUGCACCACAAAAUCAGAUUUUUUUUUAUUUGCUUCUCAGAACCAGGUUCUGUCGUUGCUUCUCCGUCGUGAUAUCGCUUCUUCACUCCUCCUCCGUCGUUCUCUUCACCCACCACAACCCCAAUCACCGACCCCCCCUCCUGUAACCCCAAUCACCCACCGCAGCCUUCUCCUGCAACGACGCUAUGGUGCGACGGUGGUGGGCAGAUCCACAUCCAGAUCGAGAGAGGCACGACAAAAUCAACAAAACAAACCUCGAUCUGAUCUGUUGCAGAUUUGUUGGUUGCAGAUCUGGUAGUCGCUUCUCUCUCCCUUCACUCCUCCUCUAUCGUUCUCUCCAUCGAUUCUGUCCAACAACCUCGAUCUGAUAUGUUGCAGAUAUGUUGGUUACAUCGUGGGUUCUGGGUUGGUGGUAGCAUGACGAUUGGUUGGUGAUGGGGGUGGGUUUGGUCCUCUUCAUUCUUAUUUCUGGGUUUCUGGUGGUGGGGGUUCACUGAGAUUGAAGAGAUGAGAUGAGGUGGUGUGGUGGCGUGGAGAUAGGUGGUGGUGAUUGUGGUGGGUUCUGGGUUGGGGGUGGGUUCUGGGUGGUGGUCAGUUCUGGGUUGGUGGUUCUGGGUAAUGGAUGGUGGUGAGUUAUGGAUUGGUGUGUGAUGGUGGUGGGUUCUGGUCACUCCCUUCCUCCAGAUCUGCAGAAACCAAGGCCAAAACGUGAAGGUGGCUUGGGUGACUGGCUCAGGAAGGUGGAGAGAUCUGGGUUAUUUUGUUUCAGAUCUGUUGAUGUUGAUGAUGAUGAACUGGUUCUGAAUUCAAGCUCCUUUUGUUCUUUGUCGUGUAUUUCGUAAGCCUCGUAAGAAUUCUUCAUUGGAGAUUGCUUUGAGUUCAGCGACUGGAUCGUCAGUUCGCCACAUAGGUAUUCAGCACGAUGGAGGUGUGGAGUAUAAUGUUGAUAAUGAUGGUGCUCCAACAGAUGUUAAUGAAGUUGAGAAUGUGCCAAUACCUGGUUUUCCUCAUGAUAGUCCGCAGUGGUUUUCAUUAGCGGAGAAUCCAAGUUCCCAUCAGCUUGAAGUUUAAACUCCCCCCUGCUGGUUGUAUCAGUGAUCGUUGAGAGAGUGCAAAGUAUGCCUUUUCUUGUGUUGCUGGUACAAGUCAUAUGAUCGUUGGUAAUCUGCAGCUCGGUCCUGGAACUCUACUAGGCUAUUCAGAGGCCUGCUUAUCAAUGAGGCAUGGAAAGAUGUGCAUGGUAGAAAUGCAUUGACGACCAACAUCAAGAUGUCCUCUGUUUGCAAUCCAGAUGUCAUGAACACCUCCAUAUGGAAUCACUGUAAGAAAUCUCUUAGAGAUUCAUCACUCCUUUGCUUUACUUGUGUGUAGAACCAGAAGUAAAGCAAUCAAACCUUUUAUUAUUCUCUCAUCAACUGUAUAGUCUCAUACCUAUUUAGUCUCGAAAUACCUAUUUUCUGGGUGCUGCAUCAGUUUAGUCAUGUUUCCCUUCGCCUAUGCGAUCACUCCCCGCCCAUGGCAAUCAUUCCUCGUCCUCAUCGGUCUCGAGUGUCACACAGACGAUGCCAAAUGUUCUUAAGAGAAUCAUGAAUGGUUGUUCUCCUUGGACUCUGUGGCGAUGCUUAGCCUCAGUGAACUUGAGGUUGUGGUGUUGUUGGCCUCGAGCCUAGGGGGAGUACUUGCAAAAGAAAAUCUAAUGCUCAUAUCAAUAUGUGAGCAAGGAGAGAAUCCACGGGCCUUAAAAACCCAUGUAAUGCUAAGAAUGAAUAGAAUAUUGUAUAAAUGAAUUGUAGAACCUGUAUUUAUAAGGUUGGUGUAUGUGUUCAAUAUCCCUAUGAGUGUGAAGGAAGUCCUCGAGUGUAGUUUUCGAGCUCAUGGUUGGCUUUGUGUUUUCAUGCUUUGAGUGUUUUAUCUCGGACCUUUGUGAGGGCGCUCGAACACUUUUCCAGUUGGACAAGGGUGGUCCA